rnacentral:rRNA from 1 species
GACGAAAGCUGGCGGCGUGCUUAACACAUGCAAGUCGAACGGAAAGGCCCUGCUUUUGUGGGGUGCUCGAGUGGCGAACGGGUGAGUAACACGUGAGUAACCUGCCCUUGACUUUGGGAUAACUUCAGGAAACUGGGGCUAAUACCGGAUAGGAGCUCCUGCUGCAUGGUGGGGGUUGGAAAGUUUCGGCGGUUGGGGAUGGACUCGCGGCUUAUCAGCUUGUUGGUGGGGUAGUGGCUUACCAAGGCUUUGACGGGUAGCCGGCCUGAGAGGGUGACCGGCCACAUUGGGACUGAGAUACGGCCCAGACUCCUACGGGAGGCAGCAGUGGGGAAUAUUGCACAAUGGGCGGAAGCCUGAUGCAGCAACGCCGCGUGCGGGAUGACGGCCUUCGGGUUGUAAACCGCUUUCGCCUGUGACGAAGCGUGAGUGACGGUAAUGGGUAAAGAAGCACCGGCUAACUACGUG